rnacentral:lncRNA from 10 species
UCAAUUCUUGCUCAACCAAUCUCAAAUUCUGUGACCCUAUCAAAGUCACUGAACAUCUCUGAACCUGUUUCCCCUUCUGUAGAGUGAAGGUGCAAACACGACUAAGAGCAACAUUUGGUGAGAGGACGGAUUGAGAUGGUACACAUGUCAGGGGCUUCUCAUAUGCACAUGCAAAAGUACCAUUAUUAUUAUUAUUAUCUAGGGCACUAGACUUCUGGGAGCAUAUGCAGAAAAAAGAAUCACGCUUGGAAUGAAAAAAAGUGGAGGCUGGUCCCCUGUGCCAUCUACACCAACCAAGGCAGCUUCUGACUGAAGUUUCCUCAUCUGCAAAGUGGGGUUGAUCAUAGCAUCUCCUUAAGUGGCGGUGAUGUUGAAAUGAGACAGUGUGUGAGCAAGUGCUUUGCAUGAGGGUGGAAGAGUGAAGUCUGUGCCUUUGUUAUAGAAACAAUUAUUCCCUCGCCUCACUACUUUUCCACUGGCUGUUCUUUUUCCUGUUUUUAGACUAAUAAGUCCCUGGUGCCUUUUAUGGUAAACUGCCUCUCAUCCUCUUCGCAAGCAGAUUGCGCCUGGCUAGUAAAUUUAAUAAAAGUAAUAUGUCUUUGUUUCCUUUGUGGGCACCAAAGCCCUUCUCCCUUUGCUUCACAUAUGCCACCUUUUCCCUCUAUCACCCAUUCCUUUCCUUUGCUUCAUGAAUGUAAAGGCAACUCUAAUUGGUCCUUCUCUCUGCCUUCCCAGCUUGUUGUCUCAGCUGGUGCCUGCUCUGAACCUUCCAUUGAAAGAAGCCUAAAAUGAAAAGUGGGACCCCAGGCCCCAUCCCCCAAAGCAACCACUGUUACCCAUUUCCUGU